rnacentral:rRNA from 1 species
UACGAAGGGGGCUAGCGUUGCUCGGAAUCACUGGGCGUAAAGCGCACGUAGGCGGCUUUCUAAGUCAGGGGUGAAAUCCUGGAGCUCAACUCCAGAACUGCCUUUGAUACUGGGGAGCUCGAGUCCGGAAGAGGUGAGUGGAACUCCGAGUGUAGAGGUGAAAUUCGUAGAUAUUCGCAAGAACACCAGUGGCGAAGGCGGCUCACUGGCCCGAUACUGACGCUGAGGCACGAAAGCGUGGGGAGCAAACAGG